UGGGGAAUUUUGGACAAUGGGGGAAACCCUGAUCCAGCCAUCCCGCGUGUGCGAUGAAGGCCUUCGGGUUGUAAAGCACUUUUGGCAGGAAAGAAACGUCGCGGGUUAAUACCCCGCGAAACUGACGGUACCUGCAGAAUAAGCACCGGCUGACUACGUGCCAGCAGCCGCGGUAAUACGUAGGGUGCAAGCGUUAAUCGGAAUUACUGGGCGUAAAGCGUGCGCAGGCGGUUCGGAAAGAAAGAUGUGAAAUCCCAGAGCUUAACUUUGGAACUGCAUUUUUAACUACCGGGCUAGAGUGUGUCAGAGGGAGGUGGAAUUCCGCGUGUAGCAGUGAAAUGCGUAGAUAUGCGGAGGAACACCGAUGGCGAAGGCAGCCUCCUGGGAUAACACUGACGCUCAUGCACGAAAGCGUGGGGAGCAAACAGGAUUAGAUACCCUGGUAGUCCACGCCCUAAACGAUGUCAACUAGCUGUUGGGGCCUUCGGGCCUUGGUAGCGCAGCUAACGCGUGAAGUUGACCGCCUGGGGAGUACGGUCGCAAGAUUAAAAACUUAAAUGAAUUGACGGGGGUCAUAGCUGUUUCCU
rnacentral:rRNA from 1 species